rnacentral:lncRNA from 1 species
GUUCGACAAUCAGGAUUUAGAUGAGGAUGAAAGGAGAAGGGCUGAGACAAAGACAGACCAAAAUUGUGGCUGUUGCAAUUGGCAAUCUUCUAAGCACACCCAAGUUGUCUAAGGAAAAACCCAGGGCCAAUCAAGGCCUGCAAGAAAACUGGACACUGAGCAUAUGCUGUAUGUAGCCACUGCCAAGGCCCUGUUCUGUAUGUCAGAUGGCUGGUGUGCCUGACCACAGCACUGGAAGAUUGUCCCCACUCCUAGACAGGGGCUAUCAAGAUGGUGAAGGCCAGCCUAAACCUUCACCCUCUGCCCUAAUAAAGAGGACUGAAGAGGCCUGGGGUAACCUACAAUGUCCCUGUUCAUGGACAUCUCCAUCUCCCGUGAAAAACCCUGGGUGACCCUGGAUGUCAUAGGUAAGCAAUUUCAAUUCCUUUAGCUUCUGUUUUAACUUCCUUCUCUGGAAACUCCUUCUCUAGAUCUAUAGCCAUAAUUGGGGUUAUAGGAAGCACUAACCAGCUCUUCUUUACUCCAGCUCUCACAGGUCACUUCAAAAACCCAAUGUUCAACCACGAGUUUUUAGUUGUCUCAGUGUUCUACUCCAUUCCUAGUAAGAGAUUUACUAGCAAAAUUGAGGGGAAUUCACCAAAUCUGGCAAAGACCAAAGCAGGACUAUGGCAGGUCAUUCUUCUUAGACACCCUUGAGGUUACCAUAAAAACUUGCACUAGUUUUAAUCUUGCUUUACUGAUGCCUACAGAUUCAGAGGCUAGCCGCUCUUGUGUCUUGCUGUGUCUGGCCUUGAACUCAUGGGAAUCCUCUUGCCUCAGCCUCCUGAGUGCUGGGAUUACAGGUGUGCACCACCAAGCCUGGCUACCCCUUCUUAAAACAAAAAAGAAAGAAAGAAAGAAAGAAAGAAAGAAAGAAAGAAAGAAAGAAAGAAAGAAAGAAAGAAAGAAAGAAAGAAAGUGGACCUUGGAAAAGGCAUCCCUGGCCCUGGCCAGAGGUAGUGUGAGGCUCUCCAUGGCUCCGGAGGCCCUCAGAGGAACCCCACUUGUCUUCUUCACUGAUUAUCCUUCCUGGAAGACUUGUCCAGCCGCUGUCCACAGCCCACCUGGUCCACCAGCAAUGCAGGUCAUCGUGUUUUCCCAGCUUAGCUGGGGAUCCUUGAAGUUGACUCUUUAUACACCUUGUGACAGAAAAUCAACACCAAAAUGACUUCAAAUAACACUGUUAUUGUUUGGAAUGCUGCUGCCAAGAAGCAUGUUUGUCAGUAAAUCUCCCAAUAAACUGCAUUCUGUGCAAUCCUAGAUCUGCCUGCCUCUUUCUUCAGUCACCUUGAGGAGUCUUCAUACACUAGUAUUACUGGGAUCCGGGGUUCUAGAGUUUCCUUCUAGAGGUGGUUUCUAGAUCUUGUCUUGACCAAUUAUUUGUUCAGGACACAGCUGAGGUGGGGGCACUGCACAAGGCUGGGAAGGACUUGGUUUCUGUUUUUGUUUUUGGUACCGGGGAUUGAACUUGGAUGAACUGGAGGCCUAGCACUUUGGGUAUGGCUAGCCUCUCAUUUAGUAAAC